rnacentral:rRNA from 1 species
GGGGCAUAGGUCGGCUAGCUAUGUAAGAUGGAGCGGUAGAGAGAAGCUUGCUUCUCUUGAGAGCGGCGGACGGGUGAGUAAUGCCUAGGAAUCUGCCUGGUAGUGGGGGAUAACGUUCGGAAACGGACGCUAAUACCGCAUACGUCCUACGGGAGAAAGCAGGGGACCUUCGGGCCUUGCGCUAUCAGAUGAGCCUAGGUCGGAUUAGCUAGUUGGUGAGGUAAUGGCUCACCAAGGCGACGAUCCGUAACUGGUCUGAGAGGAUGAUCAGUCACACUGGAACUGAGACACGGUCCAGACUCCUACGGGAGGCAGCAGUGGGGAAUAUUGGACAAUGGGCGAAAGCCUGAUCCAGCCAUGCCGCGUGUGUGAAGAAGGUCUUCGGAUUGUAAAGCACUUUAAGUUGGGAGGAAGGGCAGUUACCUAAUACGUGAUUGUUUUGACGUUACCGACAGAAUAAGCACCGGCUAACUCUGUGCCAGCAGCCGCGGUAAUACAGAGGGUGCAAGCGUUAAUCGGAAUUACUGGGCGUAAAGCGCGCGUAGGUGGUUUGUUAAGUUGGAUGUGAAAUCCCCGGGCUCAACCUGGGAACUGCAUUCAAAACUGACUGACUAGAGUAUGGUAGAGGGUGGUGGAAUUUCCUGUGUAGCGGUGAAAUGCGUAGAUAUAGGAAGGAACACCAGUGGCGAAGGCGACCACCUGGACUGAUACUGACACUGAGGUGCGAAAGCGUGGGGAGCAAACAGGAUUAGAUACCCUGGUAGUCCACGCCGUAACGAUGUCAACUAGCCGUUGGGAGC